UGGGGAAUUUUCCGCAAUGGGCGAAAGCCUGACGGAGCAAUACCGCGUGAGGGAGGAAGGCUCUUGGGUUGUAAACCUCUUUUCUCAAGGAAGAAGACAAUGACGGUACUUGAGGAAUAAGCAUCGGCUAACUCCGUGCCAGCAGCCGCGGUAAUACGGAGGAUGCAAGCGUUAUCCGGAAUGAUUGGGCGUAAAGCGUCCGCAGGUGGCAAUGAAAGUCUGCUGUUAAAGAGUUUGGCUUAACCAAAUAAAAGCGGUGGAAACUACAUAGCUAGAGUACGUUCGGGGCAGAGGGAAUUCCUGGUGUAGCGGUGAAAUGCGUAGAGAUCAGGAAGAACACCGAUGGCGAAAGCGCUCUGCUAGGCCUGUACUGACACUGAGGGACGAAAGCUAGGGGAGC
rnacentral:rRNA from 1 species